rnacentral:rRNA from 1 species
UACAGAGGGUGCGAGCGUUGUUCGGAAUCACUGGGCGUAAAGGGCGUGUAGGCGGUCCGCUAAGUCUGAUGUGAAAGCCCGGGGCUCACCCCCGGAAGUGCAUUGGAAGCUGGCGGACUCGAGUCCCGGAGAGGAGAGUGGAAUUCCUGGUGUAGCGGUGAAAUGCGUAGAUAUCAGGAGGAACACCGGUGGCGAAGGCGGCUCUCUGGACGGUGACUGACGCUGAGACGCGAAAGCGUGGGGAGCAAACAGG